UACAGAGGAGCCAAGCGUUGUCCGGAUUGACUGGGCGUAAAGCGCACGCAGGCGGUCGCGCGCGUGGGGUGUGAAAUCUGGCCGCUUAACGGCCAGGCGCCAUCCCAUACGGCGCGACUGGAGUGAUGCAGAGGUCGAUGGAAUUGCCGGUGUAGUGGUGAAAUGCGUAGAGAUCGGGCAGGAACACCCAGGGGGAAACCAGCCGACUGGGCAUCGACUGACGCUGAGGUGCGAGAGCGUGGGGAGCGAACCGG
rnacentral:rRNA from 1 species